GGGGAUAUAGCUCAGAUGGUAGAGCGCUCGCUUAGCAUGCGAGAGGUACGGGGAUUGACACCUCGCAUCUCCA
rnacentral:tRNA from 1 species